rnacentral:rRNA from 1 species
UACGAAGGGGGCUAGCGUUGCUCGGAAUCACUGGGCGUAAAGCGCACGUAGGCGGCUUUCUAAGUCAGGGGUGAAAUCCUGGAGCUCAACUCCAGAACUGCCUUUGAUACUGGAGAGCUUGAGUCCGGAAGAGGUGAGUGGAACUCCGAGUGUAGAGGUGAAAUGCGCAGAUAUCAGGAGGAACACCAAUGGCGAAGGCAGCUCGCUGGAACGGUACUGACGCUGAGGCGCGAAAGCGUGGGGAGCGAACAGG